GACGAACGCUGGCGGCGUGCCUAAUACAUGCAAGUUGAGCGCUGAAGGUUGGUACUUGUACCAACUGGAUGAGCAGCGAACGGGUGAGUAACGCGUGGGGAAUCUGCCUUUGAGCGGGGGACAACAUUUGGAAACGAAUGCUAAUACCGCAUAAAAACUUUAAACACAAGUUUUAAGUUUGAAAGAUGCAAUUGCAUCACUCAAAGAUGAUCCCGCGUUGUAUUAGCUAGUUGGUGAGGUAAAGGCUCACCAAGGCGAUGAUACAUAGCCGACCCGAGAGGGUGAUCGGCCACAUUGGGACUGAGACACGGCCCAAACUCCUACGGGAGGCAGCAGUAGGGAAGCUUCGGCAAUGGACAAAAGUCUGACCGAGCAACGCCGCGUGAGUGAAGAAGGGUUUCGGAUCGUAAAACUCUGUUGGUAGAGAAGAACGUUGGUGAGAGUGGAAAGCUCAUCAAGUGACGGUAACUACCCAGAAAGGGACGGCUAACUACGUG
rnacentral:rRNA from 1 species